GGUUGCGUGGUCUAGUGGUCAGGAUGCUGCCUCUCCAUAGUUCAUCUGUCAUGGUGCUACCCGCGUGGAGGGCUAAACAUCGGAAUGGGAGCCGGUGAGUGCAGAGGUCCGGGUUCAAAUCCCGGUACGAUCA